rnacentral:rRNA from 1 species
UACGUAGGGUCCGAGCGUUGUCCGGAAUUAUUGGGCGUAAAGGGCUCGUAGGCGGUCUGUUGCGUCGGUAGUGAAAACUCAGGGCUUAACCCUGAGCCUGCUUCCGAUACGGGCAGACUAGAGGUAUGCAGGGGAGAAUGGAAUUCCUGGUGUAGCGGUGAAAUGCGCAGAUAUCAGGAGGAACACCAGUGGCGAAGGCGGUUCUCUGGGCAUUACCUGACGCUGAGGAGCGAAAGUGUGGGGAGCAAACGGG